rnacentral:rRNA from 1 species
UACGUAGGGGGCAAGCGUUGUCCGGAUUCAUUGGGCGUAAAGAGCGUGUAGGCGGCCAGGUAGGUCGGUUGUGAAAACUGGAGGCUCAACCUUCAGAGGUCGACCGAAACCAUCUGGCUAGAGUCCGGGAGAGGAGAGUGGAAUUCCUGGUGUAGCGGUGAAAUGCGCAGAUAUCAGGAGGAACACCGGUGGCGAAGGCGGUUCUCUGGGCCUUACCUGACACUGAGGAGCGAAAGCGUGGGGAGCGAACAGG